rnacentral:rRNA from 1 species
GAGUUUGAUCUUGGCUCAGGAUGAACGCCGGCGGUGUGCCUAAUACAUGCAAGUCGUACGCACUGGCCCAACUGAUUGAUGGUGCUUGCACCUGAUCGACGAUGGAUCACCAGUGAGUGGGCGGACGGGUGAGUAACACGUAGGUAACCUGCCCUGUACAGGGGGAUAACAAUCAGAAAUGACUGCUAAUACCGCAUAAGACCACAGCACCGCAUGGUGCAGGGGUAAAAACUCCGGUGGUACAGGAUGGACCCGCGUCUGAUUAGCUGGUUGGUGAGGCAACGGCUCACCAAGGCGACGAUCAGUAGCCGGCUUGAGAGAGUGAACGGCCACAUUGGGACUGAGACACGGCCCAAACUCCUACGGGAGGCAGCAGUGGGGAAUAUUGCACAAUGGGGAAACCCUGAUGCAGCAACGCGCGUGAGUGAAGAAGUAUUUCGGUAUGUAAAGCUCUAUCAGCAGGGAAGAAAGUGACGGUACCUGACUAAGAG